GAUGAACGCUAGCGGCAGGCUUAAUACAUGCAAGUCGAGGGGCAGCAUGACUGUAGCAAUACAGUUGAUGGCGACCGGCAAACGGGUGCGGAACACGUACAGAACCUUCCUUCGAGCGGGGAAGAGCCCAGAGAAAUUUGGAUUAAUACCCCAUAGUACAACGGAGUGGCAUCACUUUGUUGUUAAAGCUUUAUCACUUGAAGAAGGCUGUGCGGCUGAUUAGGUAGUUGGCGGGGUAACGGCCCACCAAGACUGCGAUCAGUAACUGGUGUGAGAGCACGACCAGUCACACGGGCACUGAGACACGGGCCCGACUCCUACGGGAGGCAGCAGUAAGGAAUAUUGGUCAAUGGACGAAAGCCUGAACCAGCCAUGCCGCGUGGAGGAUGAAGGUCCUCUGGAUUGUAAACUUCUUUUAUAUGGGACGAAAAAAGGGUUUUCUAACUCGUCUGACGGUACCAUAUGAAUAAGCACCGGCUAACUCCGUGCCAGCAGCCGCCGUAACAC
rnacentral:rRNA from 1 species